rnacentral:rRNA from 1 species
UAAUACGUAGGGUGCGAGCGUUGUCCGGAAUUAUUGGGCGUAAAGAGCUUGUAGGCGGUUUGUCGCGUCUGCUGUGAAAUUCUGGGGCUUAACUCCGGACGUGCAGUGGGUACGGGCAGACUAGAGUGUGGUAGGGGAGACUGGAAUUCCUGGUGUAGCGGUGAAAUGCGCAGAUAUCAGGAGGAACACCGAUGGCGAAGGCAGGUCUCUGGGCCAUAACUGACGCUGAGAAGCGAAAGCAUGGGUAGCGAACAGGAUUAGAUACCCUGGUAGUCCAUGCCGUAAACGUUGGGCGCUAGGUGUGGGGCUCAUUCCACGAGUUCUGUGCCGCAGCUAACGCAUUAAGCGCCCCGCCUGGGGAGUACGGCCGCAAGGCUA